UGACGCUGAGGCCCGAAAGCGUGGGGAGCGAACAGGAUUAGAUACCCUGGUAGUCCACGCUGUAAACGAUGGACACUAGGUAUGGGGAGUAUCGACCCUCUCAGUGCCGAAGCUAACGCUUUAAGUGUCCCGCCUGAGGAGUACGGUCGCAAGACUAAAACUCAAAAGAAUUGACGGGGGCCCGCACAAGCAGCGGAGCGUGUGGUUUAAUUCGAUGCAACACGAAGAACCUUACCAAGGCUUGACAUGUCGGAAGUAGCAACCUGAAAGGGAAGCGACCUGUAAAGUCAGGAGCCGUCACAGGUGCUGCAUGGCUGUCGUCAGCUCGUGCCAUGAGGUGUCAGGUUAAGUCCUGUAACGAGCGCAACCCCUGUUGCCAGUUAAUUUCUCUGGCG
rnacentral:rRNA from 1 species